rnacentral:lncRNA from 1 species
ACCUUAAGGAUGCCCAGGGGUCUCCAGAUGUUCAGGUGCCACCUUAAGGAUGCACAAGUGUCUUCAGAUGUUCAAGUGCCACCUUAAGGAUGCACGGGGGGGGGGGUUCCCUGGUUCUUCAGGUGCCACCUUAAGGACCCCCAGGGCUCUCCAGAUGUUCAGGUGCCACCUUAAGGACGCCCAGGGGUCUCCAGAUGUUCAGGUGCCACCUUAAGGACGCCCAGGGGUCUCCAAAUAUUCAGGGGGUCUCGAGAUGUUCAGGUGCCACUUUAAGAACACAUGGGGCUCUCCAGAUGUUCAGGUGCCACCUUAAGGACCCCCAGGGGUCUCCAGAUGUUCGGGUGCCAACUUAAGGGCACCCAGUUGGUCUCCAGAUGUUCGGGUACCACCUUAAGGACCCCCAGGGCUCUCCAGAUGUUCAGGUGCCACCUUAAGGAUGCACAGGGCUCUCCAGAUGUUCAGGUGCCACCUUAAGGCCCCCCAGGGCUCUCCAGAUGUUCAGGUGCCACCUUAAGGACACCCAGGAGUCUCCAAAUAUUCAGGGGGUCUCGAGAUGUUCAGGUGCCACCUUAAGGACCCCCAGGGCUCUCCAGAUGUUCAGGUGCCACCUUAAGNGGCCAUCCGUUGGGGUUUGGUGGUCAUCCGUUGGGGUUUGGUGGCCAUCUGUUGGGGUGGCCAUCCACUGGGAGUUUUGGUGGCCAUCUAUUGCGGUUUGGUGGCCAUCCGUUGAGGUUUGGUGGCCUUCUGUUGGGGUUUGGUGGCCAUCUGUUGGGGUUUGGUGGCCGUCCAUUGGGGUUUGGUGGCCAUCUGUUGGGGUGGCCAUCCAUUGGGAGCUCUCUUUGCCAUCUAUUGGGGUUUGGUGGUCAUCUGUUGGGGUUUGGUGGCCAUCUGCUGGGAUGGCCGUCCAUUGGGAGCUCUCUUGGCCAUCCAUGGGGCUUUGGUGGCCAUCCAUUGAGGUUUGGUGGCCAUCUGUUGGGGUGGCCAUCCAUUGGGAGUUCUCUUGGCCAUCCAUUGGGGUUUGGUGGCCAUCUGCUGGGGUGGCCAUCCAUUGGGAGUUCUCUUGGCCAUCCAUUGAAGUUUGGUGGCCAUUCAUUGGGAGUUUUGGUGGCCAUCCAUUGGGGUUUGGUGGCCAUCCAUGGGGGUUUGGUGGCCAUCCGUUGGGGUGGCCAUCCAUUGCAAGUUUUGGUGGCCAUCUAUUGGGGUUUGGUGGCCAUCUGUUGGGUUUUGGUGGUCGUCUGUUGGGGUGGCCAUCCAUUGGAAGUUUUGGUGGCCAUCCGUUGGGGUUUGGUGGCCAUCCAUUGGGGUUUGGUGGCCAUCCAUGGGGUUUGGUGGCCAUCCGUUGGGGUUUGGUGGCCAUCCGUUGGGGUUUGGUGGCCAUUCGUUGGGGUUUGGGGCCAUCCAUUGGGGCUUGGUGGUCGUCUGUUGGGGUUUGGUGGCCAUCCAUGGGGAGUUUUGUUGGCCAUCCAUUGAGGUUUGGUCGCCGUUUGUUGGGGUUUGGUGGCCAUCUGUUGGGGUGGCCAUCCAUGGGGAGUUUUGGUGGCCAUCUGUUGGGGUUUGGUGGCCAUCUGUUCAGGUGGCCAUCCAUUGGGAGUUCUCUUGGCCAUCCAUGGUGCUUUGGUGGCCAUUCAUUGGGAGUUUUGGUGGCCAUCCAUGGGGGUUUGGUGGCCAUCCAUGGGGGUUUGGUGGCCAUCCAUGGGGGUUUAGUGGCCAUCUGUUGGGGUGGCCAUCCAUUGAGGUUUGGUGGCCAUCC